rnacentral:rRNA from 1 species
UACGGAGGGGGACUAGCGUUGUUCGGAAUUACUGGGCGUAAAGCGCACGUAGGCGGAUUUUGUAAGUCAGGGGGUGAAAAUCCCCGGGGGCUCAACCUCGGAACUGCCUUUUGAUACUGCAAAUCUCGAGUCCGGAAGAGGUGAGUGGAAAUUUCCUAGUGUAGAGGUGAAAAUUCGUAGAUAUUAGGAAAGAACACCAGUGGCGA